GAUGAACGCUAGCUGCAGGCUUAACACAUGCAAGUCGUGGGGCAGCGGAUUCUUAGCUUGCUCAGUAUGCCGGCGACCGGCGCACGGGUGAGUAACGCGUACCGAACCUGCCCUUCACACAGGGAUAGGCUUGCGAACUCAAGCUUAUUCUCUGAUGGUCUCACUUUUAUGCAUGUAUGAUUGAGUAAAGCCUUCGGGCGGUGAUGGCUGGCGGUGCGUCCCAUUAGGAAGUUGGCGGGGUAACGGCCCACCAAUCCUUCGAUGGGUAGGGGUUCUGAGAGGAAGGUCCCCCAGGUUGGAACUGAGAUACGGUCCAAACUCCUACGGGAGGCAGGAGUGAGAAAUAUUGGUGAAUGGGAGAGAGCCUGAGCCAGCCAAGUAGCGUGCGGGAUGAAGGCCCUUGAGGUAGUAAACCGCUUUUGUCAGAAAAUAAAGUGCACAACGUGUGGUGUCAUUGAAGGUAGCUGAAGAAAAAGAACCGGCUAAUUCCGUG
rnacentral:rRNA from 1 species